AUGGCCAAAAAUACAAGAGGAACAGAGCACAGAGCCCAAGCCCUGGUGCUUACAGCCUGCCAGAGGAGUGACCAAGCAGGGAUUGAAGGCAGCAGAGGUCCCUCAACCACAGGACGCAAUGAACAAGUUUGUCACACGCUUCUACAUCCAAAACCAGAGAACAGGUGGCCUGGCCUUUUCAUUUUUCGGUCACUGGCCCACAUCAGCCCCACAGGAGAAGGGUCUCAGAUCUUUUCCAUUACCAGUCCUGAUGGUGUCUGACUUCUGUAUUUAAUAUACAUCGAUGUCCUAGCUCCUCGAAAGCCGCAGCAAAACAGCAAAUGUGGAAGAACGUAAAUUUCUCAGCUGAACAAAACCCACCAUUUGUACAGCUGAGCCGAUGUUUCUUUGUAAUGUAGGUUACUGUGACAGCUCGGGCACGUCUGAACGAGGUUCUGCAUUAGCAGUCAUGCUAAAGGACAAGUGUUUCACAUGUGCCUGUCACUGCAGUAGCUGGACUUUCUCUUUUUGUGCAGCAAAGCGACUGCAAGCAAGACAUUGUAACAGACUCCACAGCAGAUUCCACAUCGCUAAUGACACUGGAAGUCUGCGAAACUGGUGUCUAUCAACAACAUCUCUUGUGCUAAAUUAAUGACAUGUACCAGAAGCAAUGAAAGAAGAUUGUUGCCUUGGUCCAAUCUGGGUCCUGUGCUGCAGAAACAGAAGAUGAUGGAGCUUUUCGGGGAGAAACAUUCAGUUCUCCAACCAGCUUUUGUUGUUGUUGUUGUGUUUUUUUGUUUUGUUUUGUUUUUUUGAACAAACCACGGCACCAAGCCCCAGUUGCUUUCCAAUUCUUCUCCAAUCCUCUGGUGAAAUGCUCAGGUGAAGAAACAAAGUGUAUUGCAAAGAAUGCUGCCUUGGUGUGGAAAGUGCAGUGCUCUCCUCCAGAGCUGACUUAAGCACGUAGAAGUGGGAAGACCAUGUCCCUGUUCUUUAGUGAGGUCAGAGUUUGCAUAUCGGUGGAAAACGCUUGAGAUCCAGCAUCCCAAUGUAGAGGUUUCCCCCAGCUUGUCUGGAGAACCAAGGCAAAUACUUCUACCUGGAUCCUGAUGUCUUCAUAACUCCAAACACCUUGAAGAUAGAUGAUAUGACAGGAUGCUAGGGCAUCCCUCGAGACUCCUUCGUGCUGUGAGCCAUGAUGGAGUACUCCAUUAAGCUGAGGACAGGAGAAGCUAUCAAAGAGCUGGCAGCUUUGCUCAGCCUCUGCCUGUGACGAACGCUGAGCCCCUCAGGGGUGUGAUGACUGUCAUUCAAGCUUCUUCUCCAGAUGCCUGUGUUUGACACUUCCUCCACAGUGCCACCCCCAUGUGCCCAAAGGUAAACGAGUACCUUAUAAUUCAGAUUGCCUUUUUAAAAGCAACCAGACACACCUGUCCCUUGGUGUUACUGGCUGCAGAAACUGUCCUGCCUUAGCUUCAUUAGACCACGGAGCCAACAGGUUUGUAUGUACUGUAUUUUGAUCAGCUUAUUUAAUCGAGCUUCUGUGGUGGGGAUGCAGCACCAUCUUCUAACACCUUUUUUUCAGCCAAAUCAGCAGAGCUUAGCUUCCCUCUACCCACAAGUUGAGCACAGAGCUCUAUCCUUCAGUACCUGAACAGACUCCCAAUUACCUUGCAGUCAGAAAUACGAAUUCUUCCAGCACAGUAUGAAGUACAAACAGUAUUUUGUGGGGACAAGCUUGCCCAAAUGGCAUCUCCAGACAAAUAUAAACUCUCAGGUUAGCCUGCACAGGGUGGCCAGCACACCAGCAGCAUCCUCUAACUUCCGAUGUUGCUUUUUCUAAAUUGCGUGUGAUGUUCCCAUCCUCCUAAGAGAUUUAAGUGAAGGAUGGGGAACCAGGAUGUCCAGAUGUGUAUGCAGUGUGAUGGUCCUGCUCAUUUCCCCUCCAAGUCUGUGGAUGGCACUGAGGGAAAAAUCUGGGCACUAUAUGUUUUCUCUCUCCUUUUGUACUCUUGCUGAAAAAGCAAAACAGCACAAUACCAACCUGCUGGGGUGUGUUUUGUGUCAGUGUUACGAUUUUUUUUCUGAAAGGCAGUAGAAGGGCCUCACAGUGUAUUUGGUGCCAUCCCAUUAUAUUACAGUUAUGGAAUUUCUUACUUCAGGAAAAUGCCAAACAUCCCAAGCAGAGGUGCUUUAUGGCAGAGCUGGGUGGGUUUGGAUUUCAACAGCUGAAUGUAACUGCUGGUGGGUUGAUGGUAGAAAACUUCAAGCUCUCUUUCUUUCCUUUAUUAAAAAUAAAUGAUUUAGACAGACAUCA
ensembl:lncRNA